rnacentral:rRNA from 1 species
GACGAACGCUGGCGGCGUGCUUAACACAUGCAAGUCGAACGGAAAGGCCCUGCUUUUGUGGGGUGCUCGAGUGGCGAACGGGUGAGUAACACGUGAGUAACCUGCCCUUGACUUUGGGAUAAAUUCAGGAAACUGGGGCUAAUACCGGAUAGGAGCUCCUGCUGCAUGGGGGGGGUUGGAAAGGUUCGGCGGUUGGGGAUGGACUCGCGGCUUAUCAGCUUGUUGGUGGGGUAGUGGCUUACCAAGGCUUUGACGGGUAGCCGGCCUGAGAGGGUGACCGGCCACAUUGGGACUGAGAUACGGCUCAGACUCCUACGGGAGGCAGCAGUGGGGAAUAUUGCACAAUGGGCGGAAGCCUGAUGCAGCAACGCCGCGUGCGGGAUGACGGCCUUCGGGUUGUAAACCGCUUUCGCCUGUGACGAAGCGUGAGUGACGGUAAUGGGUAAAGAAGCACCGGCUAACUACGUG